rnacentral:misc_RNA from 1 species
GAUGAAGAACGUAGCGAAAUGCGAUAAGUAAUGUGAAUUGCAGAAUUCAGUGAAUCAUCGAGUCUUUUAACGCACAUUGCGCCCGCCAGUAUUCUGGCGGGCAUGCCUGUUCGAGCGUCAUUUCAACCAUCAAGCCCCCGGCUUGUGUUGGGGACCUGCGGCUGCCGCAGGCCCUGAAAAGCAGUGGCGGGCUCGCUGUCACACCGAGCGUAGUAGCAUACAUCUCGCUCUGGGCGUGCUGCGGGUUCCGGCCGUUAAACCACCUUCAUAACCCAAGGUUGACCUCGGAUCAGGUAGGAAGACCCGCUGAACUUAAGCAUAUCAAUAAGCGGAGGA